GCACUCUUCCAACCACCCCAGGAUACCUUUGGCCUUCUUGGCCACAAGGGCACAUUGCUGACCCAUGGUCAGCCAGCUCUCCAACAGAACUCCCAGGUCCCUCUCUGCAGAGCUACUCUCCAACAGGUCAACCCCCAGCCUGUACUUGUGCUUGGGGUUAGUCUUCUCUAGGUGCAGGACCCUGCACUUGCCUUUGUUGAACUUCACAAGGU